UACGUAGGGGGCAAGCGUUGUCCGGAUUCAUUGGGCGUAAAGAGCUCGUAGGCGGUUUGUUGCGUCUAUCGUGAAAACCUGCAGCUUAACUGUGGGCUUGCGGUGGAUACGGGCAGACUUGAGUUCGGUAGGGGAGACUGGAAUUCCUGGUGUAGCGGUGAAAUGCGCAGAUAUCAGGAGGAACACCGGUGGCGAAGGCGGGUCUCUGGGCCGAUACUGACGCUGAGGAGCGAAAGCGUGGGGAGCGAACAGG
rnacentral:rRNA from 1 species